rnacentral:rRNA from 1 species
CCCUUAGAUGUCCUGGGCCGCACGCGCGUUACACUGAUGCAUUCAACGAGCUUAUAACCUUGGCCGAGAGGCCUGGGCAAUCUUGUUAACGUGCAUCGUGAUAGGGAUAGAUUAUUGAAAUUAUUAAUCUUGAACGAGGAAUUCCUAGUAAACGCAGAUCAUCAAUCUGCAUUGAUUACGUCCCUGCCCUUUGUACACACCGCCCGUCGCACCUACCGAUUGGAUGGUCCGGUGAAGCCUCGGGAUUGUGGUUCUUGCCGCUUUAUUGUGGCGUGACCGCGAGAACUUGUCUAAACCUUAUCAUCUAGAGGAAGGUGAANUCGUANCA